GGUCUGGUGGUCUAGUGGUAUGAUUCGCGCUUAGGGCUCACCCUAAUGCUUAAACUGCGCGAGGUCGUAAGUUCAUCUCCACCUGUUCAGGGUGCAAAACAAAUAAACUAACAUCUCCCCAGCCGGGUUCAAUCCCCGGCCAGACCC